rnacentral:rRNA from 1 species
AUUGAACGCUGGCGGCAUGCUUUACACAUGCAAGUCGAACGGUAACAGGGAGCUUGCUCCGCUGACGAGUGGCGAACGGGUGAGUAAUAUAUCGGAACGUACCCAAGAGUGGGGGAUAACGUAGCGAAAGUUACGCUAAUACCGCAUACGAUCUAUGGAUGAAAGCAGGGGACCUUCGGGCCUUGUGCUCCUGGAGCGGCCGAUAUCUGAUUAGCUAGUUGGUGAGGUAAAGGCUCACCAAGGCGACGAUCAGUAGCUGGUCUGAGAGGACGACCAGCCACACUGGAACUGAGACACGGUCCAGACUCCUACGGGAGGCAGCAGUGGGGAAUUUUGGACAAUGGGCGCAAGCCUGAUCCAGCAAUGCCGCGUGAGUGAAGAAGGCCUUCGGGUUGUAAAGCUCUUUUGUCAGGGAAGAAACGGUAGAGGCUAAUAUCCUUUGCUAAUGACGGUACCUGAAGAAUAAGCACCGGCUAACUACGUGCCAGCCGCCGCGGUAACAC